GUAACCUUUAAAGUGUUCUGUUCAUAAUUCAAGGAAGAAUUUAACUUUAAUUGGAUUUUUUUUCCAAUUGGCCAAAAAUUUCCACAAAACACUAUUUUGCACUGCGUUUACACCGACAUUGCACUCUGUAUGCUGGCCGUUCCGAAUUGCACAAUGAUGAACAAUGGCCGCCGAUGGAACGCUGUUUCGCCAGGUCAUUGUCUGCUCGUUGUUUAUUCUGCAAAAGAUAUCAAUCGGCAAAUGAAUGACUGACGAAGGACGACAUCGGCAACUGGGUCUGAUAGAAAAGUGUCAGUUCAGUGUCCAAAAACAAAAAAAAGAAAAAAUAAAAUAAAAACUUCAUUCCAGAGAUUGCUGCUGCCAUUCUACGGCUGAUGGUUGGUGGUGGUUGUAGUAGCAGGCAGCUGCGAUAGUGGUGGUAUUGUU